UUCUUCUUGUAUAGUAUUUGAAGUAUGACCUGCCCGCUGAUUGUUUGAAGGGCCGCGGUAUAUUGACCGUGCAAAGGUAGCAUAAUCAUUAGUUUUUUAAUUGGAAGCUGGUAUGAAUGGUUGGACGAAGAAUUUUCUGUUUCUUUAUUAUUUAUUGAACUUAAAUUUUAAGUUAAAAUGCUUAAAUUUUUAAAUGGGACGAGAAGACCCUAUAGAGUUUUAAAUUUCUUAUAUUUGGUUGUUUUAUUUUUGAUAUAUAUACGAUUUUUUUUGUUGGGGCGAUGGGAAUAUUUAUUUAACUUUUUUUAUUAUAUUUUACUUAUUUGUAAUUUUUUGGUCUUUUAAUUAUUGAUGAUAAGAUAAAAUUACCUUAGGGAUAACAGCGUAAUCUUCUUUUAGAGUUCUUAUUAGUAAGGGGGGUUGCGA
rnacentral:rRNA from 1 species